rnacentral:rRNA from 1 species
AGAGUUUGAUCCUGGCUCAGAUUGAACGCUGGCGGCAUGCCUUACACAUGCAAGUCGAACGGCAGCGCGGGGCAACCUGGCGGCGAGUGGCGAACGGGUGAGUAAUAUAUCGGAACGUACCCUGGAGUGGGGGAUAACGUAGCGAAAGUUACGCUAAUACCGCAUACGAUCUAAGGAUGAAAGUGGGGGAUCGCAAGACCUCAUGCUCCUGGAGCGGCCGAUAUCUGAUUAGCUAGUUGGCGGGGUAAAAGCCCACCAAGGCAACGAUCAGUAGCUGGUCUGAGAGGACGACCAGCCACACUGGAACUGAGACACGGUCCAGACUCCUACGGGAGGCAGCAGUGGGGAAUUUUGGACAAUGGGCGCAAGCCUGAUCCAGCAAUGCCGCGUGAGUGAAGAAGGCCUUCGGGUU